GAGAACUAUGUGAAUGGGGAGGCAAGAAGUGCUCUCUAGUCUAACUGCUUUGUUCCACGUGGACAAGUGGGCCGUCUUUUACAGGCCGUCCUGUCAUCUCCGCCCCUUAGCCGCCUGCUGCUGUCAACCUAAGUGUCUCAGGCCGAACUUCCGCAUGGAUACGGUGCUGGGGCCCAAAAUGCAAAGCCAGGAGGAAGAACUACAGACACAUGGAAAAAUGUACCGGGAAUCGAACUCACAACGUCUGAUUUCACUUCCUUUUGAUGGAAUUUCAUAUGUGGAAUUUGUGCAAAGGAAGAAAGAAACAGCUGCGGCCUAUCACCUUUGAGGAUUUUGGCCAACAGCCUGGCAUCUUGGGAAUUUCUCCAGCCUGCUUUUCAGAGGUAUUCAGACCCAUCUAGAAGGCAAAGGCUUGAAAGGGAACCAAAAAUAUUGAAGAUUUAUGCCUCUUGUGUAAUUUCACUCUAAGAAACAAAGCUAAUGUCUGCUCAGCACUUCAUGUAAGAUGAACGGAAACCUGCGAAGAAACACAUUAUUAAAGAGAAUAAUUUUGUACACUGUUCUGUUCAAAUUGCUUGCAUCACACAUUCCACAGGCAGCUUGAAAAUGUUUUGCACACUCGAAAGAUGAAAGCAUUUGAUACUUUCCUGGAGAUGGAAGGAUAAGGACAGUCCUGGAUUCUUAACGUCCUCAGCUGAUGGUUCUGCGUAGUUACCAGCUA
rnacentral:lncRNA from 1 species